AUGAGUGUCAUAAGCUGGAACUGCCGAGGGCUUGGGAACCCUCGGACAGUUCGGGAGCUUCGCAAGAUUGUGAAGCAAGAAGGUCCCUCCCUUUUGUUCGUUAUGGAAACCAAAAUAAAGGGAAAGCGUGUGGAUGAGUUGAAAACCACUCUGGGUUUUUCGGGAUGCUUUGUCGUUGAUAGCAGCGGCCUGAGCGGCGGAAUU
rnacentral:rRNA from 1 species